GACGCACGGGGUGUAGUAUGUUAAUUUGUCCAGUAGGGGUCUCUGGGUAAAUGUUGUGUGUGUUUUCAGGUUGAGCGCUGUGACACAGGUGUGGAGAAUUGACUGUGAUUGACCAUGCUGCUUAUAAGAAGUCUGAGAGUUGACAAGGGUUGGGAUAUGCUGUGUUGGAACAAAAGGCUGGGAGCGUGAUUGUUGCUCCUGGAAGUUGGUGAUCCCGUUGGCUCUCGUCCUCUCCAGUCCAGGGCUUGAUGUUGUUGUAAACCUUGUUAAUUUAAUUCUUAAAUGUAGUUAUGUCUGUCUUUGUGAUUAAACAUUUAUUAUUUUGCAAAUUUGAUUACUUGUAUGGCCUCUCCAUUCAUGUUGCUUCUCCUCGAGUCAAGGGGUUGUAACAUAUGGGGGCUUGGCCGUGAUUGACCUGAGAUUGACUCAGGAGAAUUCUUUAGUUGGAAUUAUGAUUUGGAUAAUUCUUUAAUUAGAAUUAUUAUUUGGAUAAUUAUUUAAUUAUAAUUUUACAUUUGGAAAAUUCGAGUAUUGGUUUCAAAAUUGUAUUGUUAUUAGGAAACUAAGUUUGGGGAGUGUCAUACAAAAAAGGAUUUUUGUUUGGUUUGGAUUAGUGGUCUUGGACUGGAGAGCGAGAGAAACCCGGCCGACAGUUGCACUGAAAUUGCGCAGAUGGUGCGGUUUAGACUGCAUAAGCCAUGCGAAACCCCGUGUUAGGCUGAAGAAGCGCUUAACGCUUUUUUGUUACUUUUGUUUGUUAUGUUAGUUUAUUGUUUUUGGUGCGUCGUACGCGGGUAGACUGGUUAGCAGUUGAGCUGCAUGUGGGCGUACUGAAGACUAGGGUUGAGAAUAAUUAGUUGUUUAAUUAUUAGUUAGGUGCGGGGUGGCUUUACAAGAGUUCUGGCAGUGAAAGUGUGACCAGUUGGUUCGGGCGCCUGAGGGCAUGGAGAGGUGGAGAUGAAUGAAGGGUAGGUGGUGAAGGAGAGAGGGGCCUCUGUUUUUAGGAGGGAGGUGUGACGACGCACGGGGUGUAGUAUGUUAAUUUGUCCAGUAGGGGUCUCUGGGUAAAUUUUGUGUGUGUUUUCAGGUUGAGCGCUGUGACACAGGUGUGGAGAAUUGACGGUGAUUGACCAUGCUGCUUAUAAGAAG